CCUACGGGGUGCUGCAGUGGGGAAUAUUGGACAAUGGGCGAAAGCCUGAUCCAGCCAUGCCGCGUGUGUGAAGAAGGCCUUCGGGUUGUAAAGCACUUUCAGUGGGGAAGAAAGCCUUGGGGCUAAUACCCUCGAGGAAGGACAUCACCCACAGAAGAAGCACCGGCUAACUCCGUGCCAGCAGCCGCGGUAAUACGGAGGGUGCGAGCGUUAAUCGGAAUUACUGGGCGUAAAGCGCGCGUAGGCGGUCUGAUAAGCCGGUUGUGAAAGCCCCGGGCUCAACCUGGGAACGGCAUCCGGAACUGUCAGGCUAGAGUGCAGGUGAGGAAGGUAGAAUUCCCGGUGUAGCGGUGAAAUGCGUAGAGAUCGGGAGGAAUACCAGUGGCGAAGGCGGCCUUCUGGACUGACACUGACGCUGAGGUGCGAAAGCGUGGGUAGCAAACAGGAUUAGAUACCCCUGUAGUC
rnacentral:rRNA from 1 species